rnacentral:tRNA from 1 species
GGAGUUGUAGCUCAGAGGUAGAGCAUUUGCCUGGUACGUGUGAGGCACUGGGUUCGAUUCCCAGCACCA